rnacentral:rRNA from 1 species
AACGAACGCUGGCGGCAGGCCUAACACAUGCAAGUCGAACGCUCGUAGCAAUACGAGAGUGGCAGACGGGUGAGUAACACGUGGGAACCUUCCCUAUGGUUCGGAAUAGCUCAGGGAAACUUGAGGUAAUACCGGAUAAGCCCUUCGGGGGAAAGAUUUAUCGCCAUUGGAUGGGCCCGCGUCGGAUUAGCUAGUUGGUGAGGUAACGGCUCACCAAGGCAACGAUCCGUAGCUGGUCUGAGAGGAUGAUCAGCCACACUGGGACUGAGACACGGCCCAGACUCCUACGGGAGGCAGCAGUGGGGAAUAUUGGGACAAUGGGCGCAAGCCUGAUCCAGCCAUGCCGCGUGAGUGACGAA